GCUUCACUUCUAGAAGAGAAAAAAUGUGAUUAAGAACUUUAAACAACAAAUUUUAAAUAUUUAUUAUGGAUUGAAAUAGUUAGUUUAUUUGAACCUAAGAUCUUCUACGACGAUUGAUGAUUGUGACGAAAUUAAUAAAUUUACAUGAAUUAAACAAAUUUUGAAUUCUGCAUGGAUCGGAUUUGAGGAAUGAAUAUCAGAGCUCUGUGUUAGAAAGGAUGGAUUCUAAAAUGAAGGAAAGAAUCCCACACCGGCUUAGUCCACACUUUUUCUCUUCAGACGAAGGACCUGAGACCGGGGAGGACAGCGAGGAUGACCUUGUUCGAUCAUAUCUACCCUCAGACAGAGGGUAUGGAGUAAAUGGAUCCUCAGGUCUCUACGAUAACAAUCAUAUUCCCGCAAUUAAUAUCACCCUGCACUCACCCAACGCUAACCAUGUACUAGAGGCCGAGAUCUGUCAGUUGGCAGAUAUCCAGGAGAAUAUCCAGAGAAUGCGGGAAGGAGAGGUCUUGGAUCAACAGAGUCUUGAAUCCAGAUUAUCCACCUCCUGCCCAUCUCUUGCUGUUGAAAUCUCCAACCGGAAACGGAACAGACACUCACACCAACAAAGAUAUCGACGCAGAUCGGACAGAAACCGCAGUCCGUCCAUGUCGACUGGAGAGAGCGAAGAGGAGGUGUCGGAGGAGGUGGACAAUUCAAUUCAUAGAUCGUCAGACUCGGUCGAACGCUCAAGAGACUCUGUUGACGGUCGAAACAGAGACAGGUCGUCUUCCCUUCGUCCCGCCCUGUUCCAUCAGCAGGCUUGUCAGCCUGUGGAGGCGGUAAACCAGCUGGCUAAAAGUGUGUCAACUCCGCAUAUUGCUGAGAAUGGUACUUCACAAACUAGUACAGAGGAAUACAGCACAAGCAGCUCUAAGUCCCCCCGCCGCCGCCCUCCGGAGCCAACUCAUGUCUUUAUUCAGAAGCUUAUUGCUGAGCAUGGAUGGAGUAAGCAAGGGAGUGGGACGGAUUCUGAAACUGAAGGAGACGAAGUCCAGCGUCCUGUUCUACUACAUCAUCCUCCACCGAGGCCCCUUUCUCAGCCACAGCAACAUCAUCCGCAACAACAACAACAUCAUGCUUCACCACAGCUCACUUUAGCAGAAUUCUUGCAAAAUCAAGCUCUCGCUGAAGAGGAUCCUAGAAAACGGCGACGGAACAAGAAGGAGCGCGGGGGAAGUCUCUUCUCCCUGCGCAAGAAGAAGGAUAAAAAGGAGACUGGGAAGGGUUUGACUAAAGCUGGAAGCGCGGCAUCUCUCUCUAGGCCGAUCAGCGCGCCCCGUGUUCCUCAGCACAGCUACAGCAUGUCCAGCAUUAAGCGCUAUCCACCCAGCUCAUCCCAGUUCUACCUGGCCCGCUCAGAAAGCAGUAAAUCAACAACGGAGGAUAAAGAGGAUGUGGACGGAGAGAAGGAGAAUCUACUUGAGAGUGAAAUCCUACCUGGAGAAGAAUUCCCGGAAUCAUUCCCGCUCUCCUUCAGGAACCUGGACGCUGACCCAUACCUUCGUCUUCAGAAAGAGGAACCAGAUACCUGGGCUAACUCCGUCCCACAAGGGAUGGCCUCUGCACUGAAACCUCACGAGGCUAAACGCCAGGAACAUAUUUAUGAGUUUAUUAUGACAGAAAAGCAUCACUGCCAGCUACUUAAGGUGAUCCAAAAGGUAUUCUGUGAGGGGUUGGUCACCUACCUUGACAUGAAGCAGGAGAUCGUCGACAGAUUGUUCCCGCAGCUUGAUACUCUCAUCAGUAUUCAUUUUGAGUUCCUUCGACAACUUAGGAUUCGACAGGAUUCUACAUCAGUGAUUCCUUCUAUUGCUGACGUUUUGUUGGAACAGUUUCACAGUGAUACAGCAGUCAGGUGGCAGCAGGCCUACGGGGUCUUCUGUUCACAGCACAGCGAUGCGGUCAACGUAUACAAGGACUUACUUAAAAGUGAUAGAAGGUUUCAUGAAUUUGUUCAGCAAUCUAGUCACAACCCUCUGCUACGAAAGAUGGGUAUACCAGAGUGUAUUCUUACAGUCACCACAAGGAUAACUAAAUAUCCGCUUUUAAUCGAACCCUUGAUCAAGACGGCAAAAGAUCGGCCAGAUGAGCAGCAAAAGCUGCGGAACUGCUUACACCUUGUCAAAUCAAUCCUUAUUGACGUUAAUGGACAGGUUGCAGAAAAAGAAAGAGGCCAGCGUCUUAUUGAAAUAUACAACCGUCUUGACGCAAAAAGCUUCCUCUCCGUCGACGGACGAAAAUUUAAGAAAUCUGACUUCUUGUUGGACAACCGGAAGCUGUUGUUUGAGGGCGUGGCAACCCUGGUUAAUCCUGCCAUAAACCUCAACGCGGGAAGUGGGCGUGGAAAUCGUAGCCCCGCCCCUCUUUUGGUUAAUGUUGUUGUACUAAGUGAUGUUCUGGUGUUCUUGCAAGAUUUCAACCAGAAAUAUACAUUUAUCUGCCCCGAAAACAGAUCUGGUUUAGCUCCUGUCCACUCUCUGAUAGCUCGGGAGAAACCUGGAACGGAUAACAAGGCACUCUACAUCAUCAGCACUAACGAUAAGGAUCCUGAGAUGUAUGAACUGGGUAUAGUUCAACCUAGAGAUAGACAAGAAUGGAUUUCUGGAAUACGGCGAGCUGUUGAUAUGAGUGUAGGAGGUCCCGGGGAGGAGGAAGCAGAAUUAGAGUCAGAGUCUCAACAGGUGAAGAAGCAGCUUGAAGCUAAAUAUAUGAAGCUGAGGCAACUAACAGGAGAGCUUCGUGGUCGGGAUAUGGAGCUGGGCAGAGUCAUGGAGGAUAAAAUGAGGGUGCUUCUCGAGAUGCUUGAGGAGUUGGGAGUAGACUCCGGACUAGGACAGGUUAAGUACACUGGACUGAUCCAGGAGCAGGAGAUGAGUUUAAGAAAGGAGGAUUUACUCCAAGAACUCCAAGAGGCGUCCCGUCUUGCCGCCACAUUUUUUUCCGCCUCAUCUCACCUUGGGCGCUCCGCCUCCUCUGUCGGCGAGAAACAAUCAGAAGUGUAUGAAACACCAGCGCUGCCGAAGCGGGCAGAGACAUUCGGUGGUUUCGAUGCUGACCUUGGUCGAGGUAGACGGCGGAGUGGAGGUUGGGUUGAGCAGGGACUAGGCGGAUCUCCUGCUUUGCUGGGGCUGGAUAAAGGUCAGCAGGUAGCUGCUGUUCAGCUUGCUCAUCAUCUCAACAAUAUUCUUUGUAUGGUGUCAGAACACUUCACUAGUUUACAGGGACUUAAGGUUGAGUUGGCUGAAUGCAAAGAAAGAGCUGCUCUUGGCUGGGGCCGUUACAAGCACAAUCAGCAGCUUGAGGAGCUAAGAACCCUUCAGGAGCGACUCCAGGAGGAGCGGCGAAGUUGGCAGGAGCAGAAGAUGGAGCAGGAGCGGGAGUAUAAACAGAAACAGGAGAGCAUGGCUAAACUUCAGGCCGCCUUAGAGCAAGACAAGAAGGAUGUUGAACAACAGAGAGAUAAAUUGUACAGAAAACUUGAAGCUUUGAGAGCUCAGGGUAUAGACUUUGCUCCUAACAUGACUGUGAUAGGUGCGCCCCAAGCGCCCAACCCGGAACCCCAUUUCAUAAUGGAGGUGCGUAAGGCCGUUUCGCCGCCGAGCGACGGACGAAAACAAACACACGCUCAAUCCCUCGCUGCGAGUAAAGGACUCUCCCUGUCUCAAAGUAACAUGGUAAACCAGAACCUAAUAUCUGCCACUAUAGAGACCAAGGGGGAUGUCCACGAGGUGAAACAGCAGAUUCCAUCUAAGCUUGCCAAGUUAUCUCUCGCUGGAUCUAAAGGAAAAGACAAGAAAAGUUUAUCUAACAUGAAAACUAGUAUCUCUGGGCCCUUGACUAACCUACCUACUCUAACCAUCAACCCAACCCAACAGAUGCUUCCUUAUAAACUAUCAGAGGCGGAGAAAAAGUCCUCACUGUCCCCCAAGGGUUACCAGAAACUUUCCAGUUCAAGUUUUGCCGAGGAUAGGUUAGGUCGGUCGGCGUACAGGGAAGACGUGUCUCACUCCCGCACCGGAAGUAGUCCGGCAGCUAUGAGUGGCCGACCAAUGUCCAGCUCCAAUACAUUGCCAAAAUCUCACAGAACAGAGAGUCCAGAGAAGAGUCAACCUCUGGUUCAGCGCGUAAAUUACGCAGACUCCGGAGAAGAGGUUUUUUUCUUCUGACAAAAGCUCCGGAAUCUUCGGAGCAGCCUCUCCUGAUAUUUGUCAAUGUUUGGUUGUUGGCCAGGAGUUCAGGGACACUGCUUAGUGAUAUAUUCCUGUUCUAGUGAUUAGUGAAUACUAAUUAUCCCACAAACUUUUGUCUCCUCCAGCUGCGUAUGGUGGUGACUGGGUGGGUUUAACUAGGUCGUAAGACAGCAUUCUUAUACAAGUUUUCUUUUCAUGUUUAGCUGGGUUGUAAAAAUAAAACCCGGUUUCGGUCAACCGUGUUCACGUUGACCCCGUAUCCUGACACAUUCCCGUAGUUUAUAUUAUGCAAGUAUUUACUUUAUCACCUUGUUGAAUGAAAAUUUAAUAUUUUUCUCUUAUCAUUGUGAAUUAGCUAUUUAUCAGUAUUAAUGUUUAGAUCUUUAAAAUUUAUAUGGGGACAGUCUAAAACUAUUACAAACAGACACUUUUUUUUAAUGAAUAUUUUUCCAAAUCAAAAUAUUCUUAAGAUUUCAAUCUAAAGUAUUUCAUUGUAAGUCUGACACUGUUGGUUGAAUUUGAAAUCUUUUGGUCAAUAAUUAUUUUUAGUAUUUUUGUUGAAAUAUUUCAUGAAUUUAAUUUAUACUUAUUUUUUGUGAGUUUGUAUCUAGAGUUUGUAUAAUAUUCUACCAAUAAAUUUAUUAAUCUUGUCC